GAUGAAGAACGUAGCGAAAUGCGAUAAGUAAUGUGAAUUGCAGAAUUCAGUGAAUCAUCGAAUCUUUGAACGCACAUUGCGCCCGCCAGUAUUCUGGCGGGCAUGCCUGUCCGAGCGUCAUUUCAACCCUCGAACCCCUCCGGGGGGUCGGCGUUGGGGACCUCGGGAGCCCCUAAGACGGGAUCCCGGCCCCGAAAUACAGUGGCGGUCUCGCCGCAGCCUCUCCUGCGCAGUAGUUUGCACAACUCGCGCCGGGAGCGCGGCGCGUCCACGUCCGUAAAACACCCAACUUCUGAAAUGUUGACCUCGGAUCAGGUAGGAAUACCCGCUGAACUUAAGCAUAUCAUAAGCGGAGGA
rnacentral:misc_RNA from 1 species